rnacentral:lncRNA from 1 species
GUGUAUUUUAAGGCAGCAGCCAGCUAGCCCGGCUCCUCACUAUGGCGGCUCUUCCCAGGGGUCUUCCCCCACUCAGUCUGACCUGUGUAAGUCCUGGUCACUACUGUGAUGAGAAACAGAGACUCUGGAUGGUUACAAACCCAGAAUUUACUCCCUACCAUAACAGGCCUGAACCUGCUCUGAGUAUCAAGUUGUGGCAGGUGAGUGAAUUCUCCAAGGAUCUGCUCUCUGACUUAUCCUCAGUUUUGGAUUAUAUCCCGUACAAGUGGGAGCAAUAUUCUCUGGUAAUGUACUGGGGAACAGACUCCCAGUUCUGGAAAUUAACGGACCAUAUCCAGGAUCAUGGGUAAGAGACGGGGAUCACUUCCAGGAGCAGAAAUGACUCAAAGACAGCUGCAUCACCAAAGCCCACCCAGCAUGAGUGAUGGAAGACACACAAAAGUUGGGACCCUGGACCACAAGUCACAGCCUGUAGGCAGCUCAGCAGGUUGGAGAGCGUCCUUUCCAGAGCUGGCUAGAUGUGAGUCACCCAGGAUCCUGAUGGCUCUUCACUCUCCUGCAGAUUGGUGACAGAGAACAACUGGUCCUUAAGCUAGAGUGCGCCGAUGAUGUUGACAGCUCUUCAGGCUCCUGUCCCUUGCAACCUAGGUGAAGAUUUUAUGCAUCUGCUUCUCGGCUUGUUCCCCUGGUCUCCAGUCCAGCAGUGCCUCCUGCUCCGCUCAGCCCUGAACUCCAGAUCUGCUUCUGUGAACCUGUCCAAUGUCCUGAGCCUUCUCCCUCCCUGGGUACAGCUUGGCUUUCUUGUCUCCUUUAUGUCUCUGAUGCUGACAUCACAGAUGGUCCUUCUAAAGACCCCCUCGUCCCUUUGAACCCCUCUCCUGGGCUCCCAGUGCAGCAUGUCCCUCAGGCGACUCUGAUCUGGAGGUUCCUGUGGAGCAGGUAUGGAUGGGGACUCCAUGCCCUGUGGAACUCUGAGAUACCAUGAUGGCUAGAAGUUGACCUGGUGCUGGGCAGAGGACUCUGUGCUCAGUGGCUUGAAGACACAAUGGGAUGUGUGCAGUGAGCAUCUGGUGUACUUCUCCCACAAGCUCAGUACUUGGCUCCUAGAAGUGAUGCUGACCCCAACCCCCACCCCAAACUCGAUUUUAAC